CAGGCCUGGUGACAUUAAGGAGUUGGUAUGCUGAGGUCAAGGUCUGAAGCAAAAGGCGAAAUGAGAAGUUAGUGCCAUUGAGGGGUGAUGUCAAAGAGGCUGUAACCACAAGUCUAGAAAGACCUGGAGAUCCCAGUUCAGUCCAGCAAAUGAAGACUGGGAUGCCAUGGGCCCCACACAGGCAGCGGCUGAUCUCACCACUGCAGCUGCUCCAGCACUCCAAGGGCAUUGAGGAUGCCCCUGGAAGGCCAGGAUGACAGCAGGUGUGUACCACAUCUGUUCUGACCAUCAUUCCGACAGUCUCUGUGAAAUCUCAAGGCAGGUGGCCUUAUGAAGAAGGCUCGAGCCGAAUCCUGCUGCCCCAAUCGGUCUGUGUACCCGAAGACCUUCAGGCCUCCCUGUUCUUAUCAUUAAAAGGAAUUC